ACUUGAAUUGAAGAGUUUGAUCAUGGCUCAGAUUGAACGCUGGCGGCAGGCUUAACACAUGCAAGUCGAACGGUAGCAGGAGAAAGCUUGCUUUCUUGCUGACGAGUGGCGGACGGGUGAGUAAUGCUUGGGAAUCUGGCUUAUGGAGGGGGAUAACGACGGGAAACUGUCGCUAAUACCGCGUAAUAUCGAAAGAUUAAAGUGUGGGACCUUCGGGCCACAUGCCAUAGGAUGAGCCCAAGUGGGAUUAGGUAGUUGGUGGGGUAAAGGCCUACCAAGCCUGCGAUCUCUAGCUGGUCUGAGAGGAUGACCAGCCACACUGGAACUGAGACACGGUCCAGACUCCUACGGGAGGCAGCAGUGGGGAAUAUUGCGCAAUGGGGGGAACCCUGACGCAGCCAUGCCGCGUGAAUGAAGAAGGCCUUAGGGUUGUAAAGUUCUUUUCGGGUAUGAGGAAAGGUUAUUUAUCC
rnacentral:rRNA from 1 species